rnacentral:rRNA from 1 species
AGUGAACGCUGGCGGUAGGCCUAACACAUGCAAGUCGAACGGCAGCACAGUAAGAGCUUGCUCUUACGGGUGGCGAGUGGCGGACGGGUGAGGAAUACAUCGGAAUCUACUUUUUCGUGGGGGAUAACGUAGGGAAACUUACGCUAAUACCGCAUACGACCUACGGGUGAAAGCAGGGGAUCUUCGGACCUUGCGCGAUUGAAUGAGCCGAUGUCGGAUUAGCUAGUUGGCGGGGUAAAGGCCCACCAAGGCGACGAUCCGUAGCUGGUCUGAGAGGAUGUUCAGCCACACUGGAACUAAGAAACGGUCCAGACUCCUACGGGAGGCAGCGGUGGGGAAUAUUGGACAAUGGGCGCAAGCCUGAUCCAGCCAUACUGCGUGGUUGAAGAAGGCCUUCGGGUUGUAAAGCCCUUUUGUUGGGAAAGAAAAGCAGCAGGUUAAUACCCCGCUGUUCUGACGGUACCCAAAGAAUAAGCACCGGCUAACUUCGUG